AGAGUUUUAGCUUAAUUAAAGUGUCUGUGUUGCAUGCAGGAGAUGUGACGUGUUGCAAACUCUC
rnacentral:tRNA from 1 species